rnacentral:rRNA from 1 species
UACGGAGGGUGCAAGCGUUGUCCGGAUUUAUUGGGUUUAAAGGGUGCGUAGGCGGAUGAUUAAGUCAGUGGUGAAAGCCCACAGCUCAACUGUGGAACCGCCAUUGAUACUGGUUAUCUUGAGUGUAGUUGAGGCAGGCGGAAUUUACGAUGUAGCGGUGAAAUGCAUAGAUAUCGUAAAGAACACCUAUAGCGAAGGCAGCUUGCUAAGCUACUACUGACGCUGAGGCACGAAAGCAUGGGGAGCGAACAGG